rnacentral:lncRNA from 1 species
CCCUCCCACCCCAUUUGUGACUCAUUCAUUCGGCUUUUCUUCCUUUGUUUCAUCGAACCUAUGUGCAGCUCCCCUCCCUUUCUCUUUCCCUUCCUUCUCCCCUCCCUCCCUCCCAUCCUCUCCCCAUUUCAUUCCUCCAUUCCCUCUGUUCAUCACUUCACAGUGUCUUCCACCUACCCAUGCACCCUUCCGCUCGCUCUCGCGCUCCCGCCUUUUCUGCCCUCCUACUCUCCUCUCUUUCUGGAUUUGGCCUGAAUAACUUCAGAUUUCCUGCCAGUCGACUCAGUUUUGCCACGAGGACUUCUUUGGCUCAGAGCCACCCACAUAGUUGCCAGGGGAGAAACUUCCAGAGCUGGGCCCAACAGCUGUCUUGGAGGCCUUUCUGGCCAAGACUGAUUCCUGGGUGUGGCUGCUCCUCUCUUGGGAGGAAAGUAAGUGGUUUUGGGGUCCAGAGUCAUCUAAUGAGUACUAGAAAAGCAGAUGUGGUGGGUUGGGGGCUACAACUAUUUGACCUAAGAGGUGAUGGGGGUGGGGCGGAUGAGGGAGAAGUUGCCAGUCCUUUCCAGGUGGGAAGGCACAGGUGUGAGUCCCAGCCAGAGUUUUCAAGCUGUGGUCCUGUGACAGAAACAUUUCAGAGUGGUCCCCGGUAUCCUUUGCAUGGUGGGACAGGUCCAGUAUAGUCUUUUCUACCAGAACCAAGCAAGCAAGGCUUGGGGAGACUUAACGAAUUCCAUGAGGUCACUGUUCUAGAUGGUACUAUUGGCAUAUUUUAUUCUUUUCCUCUUCCUGAGUAAACCUCACUUUCCAGCCAUCUGCAGUUAGCUAAGACUGUUUAUUUUGUUCCGGCAAAGGGAAACAGAGGUGGGAGUGAACCUUUUCAGUCCAAAACAGGAAACUCCCUCUGUGUUCCCCUAGGCUCCCCCCACCCCGCCCCCCGAACUGUUGUUUGAGCCUGGAGGACAUCCCUCUGUCAUGUUGCCCAGCCUGUAGUAGAUGUGUGUGCAGACAGAUGAUUCUGGGUACUGUUUGUUAUUGCAG